rnacentral:rRNA from 1 species
UACAGAGGGUGCAAGCGUUAAUCGGAAUUACUGGGCGUAAAGCGUGCGUAGACGGUUAUUUAAGUCAGGUGUGAAAGCCCCGGGCUCAACCUGGGAAUUGCAUUUGAGACUGAAUAGCUAGGGUGCGGAAGAGGGAAGCGGAAUUCCGGUGUAGCGGUGAAAUGCGUAGAUAUCGGAAGGAACACCAGUGGCGAAAGGCGGCUUCCUGGUCCAGCACCGACGUUCAGGCACGAAAGCGUGGGGAGCAAACAGG